CUCGCCGUCAGGGUAGAAACGAUGCCCUGACGAGUAGGCGGCCGUGGGGGUCAGUGACGAAGCCUAGGGCGUGAGCCCGGGUCGAACGGCCCCUAGUGCAGAUCUUGGUGGUAGUAGCAAAUACUUCAAUGAGAACUUGAAGGACCGAAGUGGGGAAAGGUUCCAUGUGAACAGCGGUUGGACAUGGGUUAGUCGAUCCUAAGCUAUAGGGAAGUUCCGUUUCAAAGGGGCACUUGUGCCCCGUGUAGCGAAAGGGAAGCCGGUUAAUAUUCCGGCACCUGGAUGUGGGUUUUGCGCGGUAACGCAACUGAACACGGAGACGACGGCGGGGGCCCCGGGCAGAGUUCUCUUUUCUUCUUAAC
rnacentral:rRNA from 1 species